rnacentral:rRNA from 1 species
UACGUAGGCAGCGAGCGUUGUUCGGAGUUACUGGGCGUAAAGAGUGCGUAGGCGGUUUUCUAAGUUUGGUGUGAAAUCUCCCGGCUUAACUGGGAGGGUGCGCCGAAGACUGGAAGGCUUGGGUAUGGGAGAGGUAAGCGGAAUUCCUGGUGUAGCGGUGAAAUGCGUAGAUAUCAGGAGGAACACCGGUGGCGAAGGCGGCCCUCUGGACGGAUACUGACGCUGAGGCGCGAAAGCGUGGGGAGCAAACAGG